AGCAACAGAAAUUCAAGUAUGUAACUUCACUUUGCUCCGCAGUUAAUUAACAAGUUAAUAAGCUAACUCGUCCACUUGGCAGGACUUAUUUAUGAAAUCAACACUGGAACCGUAUUCAAGAUUUUAUUAGGUGUGGAUCUAGACAUUACAACAGAAGAAGGCUUUCUAUUUUCCAAUUUAAUUAUUUUUUUCUAUUAAAUAUCUAUCAUCCUGAAGUCACUUCUUUACCUUUUUUUCUUUGAAGUUGGUCUUUUAAUGCUUCUUUACUUAUCUUCUAAAUUGCUAUUGUAUUUUUUUUAUAUAGAUAUCACUUAAUUAUUCUCAUAAUGUAUAUCUUUUAAUGGAUUCAGUAUGCAAUAAGAGUUAUCUUGGUUUGGAUUCUAUAUAUUUUAACAAUAAACCUAGCUUAUACUUUUUAAUGAAUUGAUGUUGUUUUCUUUUUCUUUAGCAGGUUACAUACAUAUGAAGGAUUGGAGAGAUUAAUUUAGAUAUCAACGACUAUAUAAGUGGUAACUUGUAGCUUUCAAGAGUAGGAUAUGCUAUGAGUUACAUAUUGUAGUUUAUCAUUGAAUAAGAAGAGUUAAAGAAGACGGUAACCGCUGUUGAUGGAGUUGAUGAAGCUAAAUUAUGAUAAGUAGGUGUUUCUUUGUCUUAAUAUUUUUUUCUGUUUGAAAUAGAACUAUUGGAAAGUGUCAUGUUACUGUAGCUUAACUUAGCAUGAUUCAGAUUAUAGCGCGAUUUCUUCUAUAUAUACACAUAUAAGGGCAUAAACUAAUUUAUUGUAAUAAAACUCGUAGAUUAUUAAUAUGUGGGUUGAUAAUUCAUAAUUAGUAUUAUGAAACGUUUAUAUUUAUUAUUAUUGUCUAUUAUUGCUUUUGAUUUCAAAGGUUUAAG
rnacentral:lncRNA from 1 species